AAUGUAGCCAAGUGGACCAAGGCAGUGGAUUGAGAAUCCACCAUGCAUGGGUUCAAUUCUCAUCAUU
rnacentral:tRNA from 1 species